AGCCUGCGGCGGAGCCGGGGCCUGAGCCCGGGCCGCGCGGGCCGCGAAUUCGUGGAGUUGCGUGUGCGGCCAGUGCUCAGUCUGCCCGGCCCUGGCCCCGCGCCCACGCGCGCCUUGGA
ensembl:miRNA